GACCAAGGUUGCUGCCGGGGUCUCUUGGUAGACUCAGGCUCUCCCUGGCCAUGGCACCUUAGCCAAGUCAUUGAACCUGGACACUUUUUGUCCAACAGAUUUGUUUUCCUGUUUCAGUCUCUGAAGGAGGAAUUGCUUUUGCUCCUCCUGGCUCUGUCAUCUGCCCUCCCUGGACCUAAGCCCUCUCUUUUCUCUCCUGUGUCUCCUGGCCUCAGACAGGCUGCCCACCAUCCCACCCUGACUUCUGGCUGUGUAGCAGGAAUGGUGUGCACUGGACAUGGCAGUCUGUUCAACCACAAGACUGGACUAGAAGAUAACCCAUUUACACAGUGAAGAUUCGGGUGACAGAGGUGAGAAGCCAGUCUUGGGAGCUCCUGCUACCGUGUGUGGCUUCUGACAUGAACCUUGGGAACGCCUUCACUGGUCUGGCCCAUGAGCAGCCAACCUAGCAGCUCCAACCUGGCAGGAGCUACAGGAAAGACGAGAGCCCUGGAACCCACAACAGGCCCACUGAGCGUUCAUUGACUUCCUAGGGGUUUGCCCUACCCUGGGCUCACGUCUCACAUGCUGGCUUAAGCAGGAUAAGACACUCUGCAAUCCAGUUCUGAACUGUGUAUACAAGCUGUAGCGCUCAGAAGAACACUGAGAAAGGGAAGGUGACGUGGGCUGGAAGGUGAUGGGUCAUGUAGGAGUGCCGAGCCUCUUGGCGACUGUGUGUGGAGAGUUUUAGGUCUGUACCAAAACGCAAUUCUUUUGCCUCUUUCGCACCACUAGUUAGCGGGCUCUAAGGCAGGUGGUAUUCAUGGCAUGUUCACUGCCUAUCCACCCGGUCACUGAGCAGACACUUAUAGGACAUUAACUUUAUUCCCUUCCCUGGUCAGAUGGUGAGGAAGUACAAGGGUGAUGGGUAGGGUGCUGUCCCCAAGGAGCUCACAGUGGGGCUCAAGGCUUUGAGGCUUAGGGUCAUGGUUGCUUGUUGAGCUGUAUCCCAAUACAAAGCUCACAGGUAACCAAUCUGAUGACCAAGGUUAAGCCCACUAAAAUGUUCUAAUGACCCCUUGCAUAGAGAACAAGGACUUACAAUAGAACAGGAUGACACCAGGUGCAUUUUGUUUCGUAAUCUGUUGACAGCAAGCUUUAUCUGAAAUCUUUUCCAUUAUGAAAGGCUAAGGAAGCCCCAUUCAUCCCAGUUACCACUGCCUAGGAACCAUAUCAUGUGACACAGGCUAAUUAGAGG
rnacentral:lncRNA from 1 species